ACUAAGCACAUUUCAGCAGAAGUUACUGCGCAUAAGUGCUGCUGUGAUACGAAAUAAAUCUGUUUAUCUUGAACUGGAUAAUGUACAUGCUGUUCUGAGAUUUCUCCGGUUGUUUUUUUUUUUUUUUUUGGACGACCGAUACCUGAACGAGCCAGUGGUUCCAGAACCAGGAGGGUUCCGCCGCCAUCUUUGUGACUCGGACUGAAGCCUGGACAGACGGAGGUUCUGGUGCUGGAUGUUUUGCGUGGACAACAGAUAAGCUUAUUGAACAAAAAGGGGGCCCCAAAACUAUUUUUUUUAUUCCACAAACUAUUUGUUCAUGAACAUUUUCAUGUGCAACUUAAGUGCACAUUGACUGAACUGUUAUAUUGAAGGACUAACUGGAAUAUGCAAUUUCUUUUGUUGAAAUAAGCUUUAAAGCUACUGUU